rnacentral:rRNA from 1 species
UACGUAGGGGGCAAGCGUUGUCCGGAUUUAUUGGGCGUAAAGAGCUCGUAGGCGGUUCCGUAAGUCGUGAAGUCAAAUCUCUGGGCUCAACCCAGAAUCGCUUCCGAUACUGCGGUGACUGGAGUCCGAUAGGGGAGUGUGGAAUUCCUGGUGUAGCGGUGAAAUGCGCAGAUAUCAGGAGGAACACCAACAGCGAAGGCAGCACUCUGGGCCGGUACUGACGCUGAGAAGCGAAAGCAUGGGGAGCGAACAGG